GAUGAACGCUGGCGGCGUGCCUAAUACAUGCAAGUCGAGCGAAUGGAUUAAGAGCUUGCUCUUAUGAAGUUAGCGGCGGACGGGUGAGUAACCCGUGGGUAACCUGCCCAUAAGACUGGGAUAACUCCGGGAAACCGGGGCUAAUACCGGAUAACAUUUUGAACCGCAUGGUUCGAAAUUGAAAGGCGGCUUCGGCUGUCACUUAUGGAUGGACCCGCGUCGCAUUAGCUAGUUGGUGAGGUAACGGCUCACCAAGGCAAACCUGCGUAGCCGACCUGGGAAGGUGAUCAGCCACACUGGGACUGAAACACGGCCCAGACUCCUACGGGAGGCAGCAGUAGGGAUUCUUCCGCAAUGGACGAAAGUCUGACGGGGCAACUCCGCGUGAGUGAUGAAGGCUUUCGGGUCGUAAAACUCUGUUGUUAGGGAAGAACAAGUGCUAGUUGAAUAAGCUGGCACCUUGACGGUACCUAACCAGAAAGCCGCGGCUAACUACGUGCCAGCCGCCGCGGUAA
rnacentral:rRNA from 1 species